AACGAACGCUGGCGGCAUGCCUAACACAUGCAAGUCGAACGGGAAGCGAUCCUUCGGGGUCGUGGAGAGUGGCGCACGGGUGAGUAACACGUAGAUAACCUGCCCUUCAGUCUGGGAUAACCCUCCGAAAGGGGGGCUAAUACUGGAUAAUAAUUUUCGUCGAGUGAUGGAGAUUUGAAAGCUUUAGUGCUGAAGGAGGGGUCUGCGUCCCAUUAGCUAGUUGGUAGGGUAACGGCCUACCAAGGCGACGAUGGGUAGCGGGUCUGAGAGGAUGAUCCGCCACACUGGCACUGAGACACGGGCCAGACUCCUACGGGAGGCAGCAGUGGGGAAUUUUGCGCAAUGGGCGAAAGCCUGACGCAGCAAUGCCGCGUGAGUGAAGAAGGCCUUCGGGUUGUAAAGCUCUUUAUCUGCGGGACGAUAAUGACGGUACCGCAGGAAGAAGCGCCGGCUAACUACGUGCCAGCCGCCGCCGUAA
rnacentral:rRNA from 1 species